rnacentral:lncRNA from 1 species
UUGCUUUCACUGUAAGGGACAGACUUCCAGCCUGUUAAAGUGGCACACACCGGGGAAGCUAUUAAAGCUGCAGAUCGGAAACGCUCAUUGCAACCGCAGGCACUCAUGCAUCGGCAUACACGUGCAUACGCGCGGACGCGUCACCGCCGCCUUCACUGCCAGCUUGUGAUGUGACGGGAAGGGAAGAGAGUCAAUUUGAGACAAAGGGGGUUCUGCCUUUUAAGACAAGAUAUGAAGUUACGUCCCAGCAAGCUACAGGACACUCUGUCUACAAUGUGAACCGCUUUCGAUUGCUGGAAGAGAGAAACCGAGCUCUGAAGCUUGAGGUAGCCACGCUUCGCCAAGAGAAACAGCAGUAUAGGAAACUGAGAGCAAAGCUCCAUGCUGCCUCGCAGGCGAAAAAUCGUCUAAACCUUGAGCUGAUCAACCACCACCUGAAGACGUCCAAGUAUGACCAGGUGCGAACAGACUAUGACCAGCUGAGACAGACCUUUGCUGUAGUGAGCCAGGAGAGAGACGUGGCCCAGCAGCAGAGGAGCCAACUCCAAGGCAAAGUGGAGAACCUGGAACAGGUUCUAAAGGUGAGACGUCACUACGUUGUGUUUGCUUUCCUCUCAUGAUUCCAUAAACAUGAUCCCAUGAACACCUAAAUGUAAAUAUCAAUUAAG